rnacentral:ncRNA from 2 species
AAUGAUGGUAGAGGUGCGAACUUCAAGAGUAGCCCUUCCGAGGAAAAUGGAAUCCUUUGAAGAUGGGUGAAAGGGGAGAGUCGCCGAAGCAAAAAAAAGAGCCAUUUCUUUCUUUUGCUGGUUUUACGUUUAAUAGACGUAAAAUUGUCAAGAAGAUGUAUUUUUCUUGGAGCGCUAUCUCAUUG